GAUGAACGCUGGCGGCGUGCCUAAUACAUGCAAGUCGAGCGAACAGACGAGGAGCUUGCUCCUCUGACGUUAGCGGCGGACGGGUGAGUAACACGUGGAUAACCUACCUAUAAGACUGGGAUAACUUCGGGAAACCGGAGCUAAUACCGGAUAAUAUAUUGAACCGCAUGGUUCAAUAGUGAAAGACGGUUUUGCUGUCACUUAUAGAUGGAUCCGCGCCGCAUUAGCUAGUUGGUAAGGUAACGGCUUACCAAGGCAACGAUGCGUAUCCGACCUGAGAGGGUGAUCGGCAACACUGGAACGGAGACACGGUCCAGACUCCUACGGGAGGCAGCAGUAGGGAAUCUUCCGCAAUGGGCGAAAGCAUGACGGAGCAACGCCGCGUGAGUGAUGAAGGUCUUCGGAUCGUAAAACUCUGUUAUUAGGGAAGAACAAAUGUGUAAGUAACUAUGCACGUCUUGACGGUACCUAAUCAGAAAGCCACGGCUAACUACGUG
rnacentral:rRNA from 1 species